AUACGGAGGGUGCAAGCGUUACUCGGAAUCACUGGGCGUAAAGCGCGCGCAGGCGGCCUGAUAAGUUGGAUGUGAACGCCUACGGCUCAACCGUAGAACUGCAUCCAAAACUGUCAGGCUAGAGUGUGGGAGAGGAAGAUGGAAUUAGUUGUGUAGGGGUAAAAUCCGUAGAGAUAACUAGGAAUACCAAAAGCGAAGGCAAUCUUCUGGAACACUACUGACGCUGAGGCGCGAAGGCGUGGGGAGCAAACAGGAUUAGAAACCCGGGUAGUCC
rnacentral:rRNA from 1 species